CUUGCCAUGAGUGAUACCCCAUGCCAGUCAUUUCAAGUCUGCUCAACAAGCAGGCUGAAUGAGUUGAUUCACAUCAGUCAGGAGGUAGGCCAAUCAAUAUCUGGAUUAGUAGGACAAGCUUCUUCAGCUGUCACCAUUAAAGAGACUGCAUGCCCAGCCCAGGCCCUGAGGAAGAAGUGGGGACCUUGUGACUCCUCCUGA
rnacentral:lncRNA from 11 species